UUUGUACUCCCUCCGUCCCAAAAUUCUUGUCUUAAAUUUGUCUAAAUACGGAUGUAUCUAGUUACAUUUUAGUGUUAGAUACAUCCGUAUCUAAACAAAUGUAAGACAAGAAUUUUGGAACGGAGGGACUACUAC
rnacentral:pre_miRNA from 1 species